rnacentral:piRNA from 1 species
UCACAGUGACUUGUUAAAGUCUCAUCGCCUU